rnacentral:lncRNA from 1 species
CUACAUUGCAGUGCUAUCUCAUGUCUUGAUGUUCCUAUUUUUAUGUUCUAAUUUGUGGUGCUAGGGUGUUAUCUUUUUUUUUUCUUUCUAUUGAAGAAGCAUGGUUUUUGCUUUAUACAUAACCCAGUGAUGUGAUCUCCCGAAAAUUGAUUUGAUACAGUAUGCAUGAUUUAUAAUCUGUGAUGAUUCAAGAAUGGAAUAUCCCAAUACACAACAGAUUGGUACUAGUUUGUUGGUUGACCGGAUUGAUUUCUUGUUCGGAACUGGAUUGUAUUUGUGAUUUGAAACGGGUCUCUUUGAGGGUAUUUCUCUUUUAUGAUGCUUUACAGAAUAUAAUUUAGGGUUAUGACUACUAUAUGUCACACCUUUGACAAAGUUUUGUUUCCUUGCUAUCUCGUGUCUUGAUAUUCCUAUUUUUAUGUUCUAAUUUGUGGUGCUAGGGUGUUUGCUUUUUUUUUUUUUCUUUUCUUUCUUUCGAAGAAGCAUGGUUUUUGCUUUAUACAUAACCCAGGGAUGAGAUCUCCCGAAAAUUGAUUUGAUACAGUAUGCAUGAUUUAUAAUCUGUGAUGAUUCAAGAAUGGAAUAUCCCAAUACACAACAGAUUGGUACUAGUUUGUUGGUUGACCGGAUUGAUUUCUUGUUCGGAACUGGAUUGUAUUUGUGAUUUGAAAUGGGUCUCUCUGAGGGUAUUUCUCUUUUAUGAUGCUUUACAGAAUAUAAUUUAGGGUUAUGACUACUAUAUGUCACAACUUUGACAAAGUUUUGUUUCCUUGCUAUCUCGUGUCUUGAUAUUCCUAUUUUUAUGUUCUAAUUUGUGGUGCUAGGGUGUUUGCUUUUUUUUUUUUUUUUUCUUUCUUUCGAAGAAGCAUGGUUUUUGCUUUAUACAUAACCCAGGGAUGAGAUCUCCCGAAAAUUGAUUUGAUACCGUAUGCAUGAUUUAUAAUCGGUGACGAUUCAAGAAUGGAAUAUCCCAAUACACAACAGAUUGGUACUAGUUUGUUGGUUGAUCGGAUUGAUUUCUUGUUCGGAACUGGAUUGUAUUUGUGAUUUGAAACGGGUCUCUCUGAGGGUAUUUCUCUUUUAUGAUGCUUUACUGAAUAUAAUUUAGGGUUAUGACUACUAUAUGUCACACCUUUGACAAAGUUUUGUUUCCUUGCUAUCUCGUGUCUUGAUAUUCCUAUUUUUAUGUUCUAAUUUGUGGUGCUAGGGUGUUUGCUUUUUUUUUUUUCUUUUUCUUUCUUUCGAAGAAGCAUGGUUUUUGUUUUAUACAUAACCCAGUGAUGAGAUCUCCCGAAAAUUGAUUUGAUACCGUAUGCAUGAUUUAUAAUCGGUGACGAUUCAAGAAUGGAAUAUCCCAAUACACAACAGAUUGGUACUAGUUUGUUGGUAGAUCGGAUUGAUUUCUUGUUCGGAACUGGAUUGUAUAUGUGAUUUGAAAUGGGUCUCUCUGAGGGUAUUUCUC